rnacentral:lncRNA from 1 species
GGAUUUUCCUCUCCUUUGAGAAGAGGACAGAACUGCCUUUCUGCCGAAUAAAUCCAUUUUUCUCCAUUUCUCCUCUACAGAGUGAAACUCAGCACUUGCCUGGAAAAGUUCUAUGGGAGCUCAUUUUGUUGCCUGUUUUCUAGCUAUGGGGAACCAGCACUGCCACCGUUAGAAUGGAUCUGGUUGUGAGCAUCAAUUCAGAACUUUUUUUCCUCACCCAGGUUUGGAAUCACUGUCAUCAUUUGACGGAGGGGAAAUUUCUCACUGUAAUAAAUCAGUACAUUUUCAUGGUAUCGCAUGGUUGCAAAUCUGAGGUGACAUCAGGGUUUCUUUAUAAACUUUUGAAGUAUGAAGGAGGCGCAUGUCUACUUUGGUCUGAAUAUUUUCUUUUUGCUUCAAGGAAGACUACUGAUGUUUUAAGAUCUUCUGUUCAUUUUACAUUGGUCUCAGAAAAGCCUAUUGACCUUAGUAAUUUGAUAUCAAGAUUUCUGCUUUAUAAACAGAGACUUUCUAACUUCUUUGUCAUAUGAGUACAGUUUUAUCUGUUGAGGACAGGAAUUGUGUGCCACACAUUCCCCCCCCCCCAUAUUGUACCUCCAGUUCCAUACAAUCUUUGGUCAAUUUCCUUUCUAAGGCUCCAAGUCCUCUUAAAGAGGAGAAUGCAUUCACUUUUUCUAACUUGGGAAGAUAGAAAUAACCACUAUGUUUGUUAUUCUCUCAAAUAGAUGUAACAAUUUGAUUGAUUAAAUUUAUUAGAAAAGAGAAAUUUAAAUCAUUUAAAUAAGUUCACAAAGUUCCAAUUAGAAACAAUUUGUCAAAACAGUGCCAGGCUCAUGGCAAUCAGAGAAGAAAAAGAAAAAAAUGGAAGACAAACUGGAAAAGAAGUAAAACUGUCACUGUUUGCAGAUGACA